AAAAACGAAAGUAAAAGUAUGGUUUCUUAUCUUUUGGAUCGAAAGGCAGUGAAGCUGCCUUAUGCUAUCACCCUAGAUUUGUGUUCUUCCCACUGAAUGGUGUAAAAAGUGCUAUUGUUAUUAUCUAGCUGGCUAAUAUGUUAAAUCUAAGUUGGCGGUAAUUUUAACAUACACGAAACGUAAGCUAUUAUCUAUACAAAAACAUAUCGAAAGAAAAUGCCUGGAAAGAGGAAACUAAGAAAAAAAUAAACCAUUUUUGGAACGCUAAAUUGUGCAGCCAUCAAUAAAACCAGUCUUAAAUAUUUGAACAUUGAAAGCCUUGAAAUUAGACAAACCGUACUUUGGAACCUGAAGAAUCAACCAAGGCUUGAGAUAUAGUGCUUUUAUGUGAAUGACUCUAUAUGGAUAUUGCUUAAUUGGUCCAUCAUUCAUACAUCUACAUAUUGAUAUGCAGAAGUAGAUUUACUAGUGCCCUGGAGGAGUACAAAUACCAUAAUACAUCACUGACCUUUUUGAAAAUGGCGUACGGUCAAUUACAGCUAGCUUGCAGGUGUUGGUAAAAAUAAAUAAAACUUUGGCAAUCUUAACAUACCUUCAUGUACCUUGUGUUUUACUUAAUA